GAUUGUUCGGAUAACGGUACAAUUAUAUAAAUAGCAUGAAUGUUUUGCUCACAAAGCCUGAUUUGAGAACUGACGUGGAAAGUCGGCACCUGCGAAAUUGCCAACGCGGAAGGGAAGAGCAAUCCUGUUUAGGCUACUAGAUCAUUCCAGCAAGCCAGGCUGGGAGGAAGAGGCCUACAGUUCCCAGAAUGCACACCAAGAUGAACAUCCAAAGGAAGAUGCGGUCCAUUACCAUGGCUACAUACUUCCACUCCUGUUUCACCUGCAAAGCAAGCUCGGAGGUGGUCAGCGAUGUACUGAACCCCAUCUACGGCCAUUUUCAUGGAGGGUGAGAGGGAAAGAAGUCGCAGGUCUCUGGAGCUGCAGGCGCCUGCAGUCUGGGCUGGCUCAUUCUGGGCUGG